CAGGAUCAGCUUCUCCUCAUACUGGUGCUUCAGUGUUUGCAGGCGCCGUUGGCUGUUCUCCAGCUCAUCGAUCAGCUUCUGCUUGAUCUCUAUCUCGCAGGUCAAAUCUGCAAGGUCAGCCUGGAAAUUCACGGCCUUCUCCUCUGCAUCUGAGUCUGAGUCCGCCAGGCUUUCUUCACUGCCUGAGUCUUCGUCUUCAUCCUCACGUCCAUCCUCUUCCUCACAGCCACUCUCAUCCUGUUCCUCCUCCUCCUCCUCCUCUUCUGCUUCAUUCUCGUCCGUCUCCUCCCCGUUGUCCUGCUGCAGCUUUGGCCGCUUCUUAAAUGCUUCCUUCUCUGGGCUUUUCCUCCGCUGCCUCCUCUCUUUCUUUUUCAGCCUCUCCAGGUCCUGCUUGGCACGUCGCAGGACGUCAGAGGCCUCGGUUUCC
rnacentral:lncRNA from 1 species